AGUGCUCCAUUUGAUUCUCUCUAUUGCGGCAGUUAGAUUUGACCCCAAAUUUAACGUAUUUAAUUAUUUUAUGGUAAUUUGAUAGGGCGAUUGAAAGUGCCUUGAAAAACUGGGUUUAAUAGGGCACUUACUUGGAGACAUAAAACUACGACGUUUUUGUAGUCAAAAUUUUUUUUUAAAUGAAUUUUUUUUGAUCAAUCUAAUAGGGCAUCUUAAUUUGCCCCUCUACCAAAAAUUAAACCGAAAGUCCAAAACUCCAAGUCAGACUCCCUACACACAGGAAAAAAAAACAAGAGCAAUAUCUAAUAAUCAUAUGUUAUACAGUUUUUAAUCAUCUUCGAUACGGUUAUUUAACGGAUCUCAAUAAGAUGAAACUAUUUUAACAGUCGAGGCUGUUGAUUUCGUUGUGCUUAUUGAUUAAAUCAUUAUCUUAAAAUUUUGGCUUGAUCGGGUUUAAAAAGUUCCUUGAUUGGGACACAAUUUGUUUUUUGGAUGAUAGUUAUCGUCUGAUCAAAUGUGUAGUGAUACCCGAUCAACUUCAUUUUUUGUAAGAAUAAUAUAGUCCGUAAUAUGUACAAUAUAGAUGGUUCAGAUAAAAAAAUAAGGACUCUUGUAGGGUCUGGUCAUGCAAUCUAAAAUUUUAAUGCCUCGGGAUGCAACAAAUGUUGUCCAAUCAGGCGGUCGCCAAUAUCCGAUGAUCUCCGAUUUUGGUGACAAUGAUGAAAUUAGUGAGACGUGAAAUCCUAACAGUUUAGAUCGACCACCGUAAAAAUUGAGUUGAUAAUGACUUUUAAAUCCUAUACGUUCAAUGUAAAUGCUAACUAGUCUUGUGCUAUACUUGAAUGUACGGUAGCCAUUCGACUGCGACACAAUUACAAUGAUCCAAACUGUUGCUUUUGUUUCCCUUGUUGAUUAAAUCAUCCUCUUGAAGAUUUGUCUAUAUCGGGUUUAGAAAACUUCAUUAUUGACACACAAUUUCAUUAACAAAAUGGGUUUUUCUCUUUGAUUAAGUGUCUAGCGACUCCCGGUUAACUCGUUGCUAGUAUGAAUGAAGUGCUCCAUAAUAUGUAAAAGAUGGACGGUUCCGAUCAGAAAAAAAAGACUCGGGUGGAGGUUGAGUAUUGCAAUCUAAUACUUUAAUGCCUUGGGAUGAAUCAAAUGUGGUCCGAUCAGGCGAUCCCAGAUAUCUGAUAAUCUUCAUUUUUGGUGAUUCUGAUAAAAUCAAUGAGACAUGAAAUUCUUAUGGUUCAGAUCAACCAUUAUUAAAAUAAAGUUAGCUUAUUAAGUUUAAAAUUUGUUCGAACUGCAAGAUAUGAGAAUGCUUAAUUAUUUUGGUGGUAAUCCCCCAAAAUAAUUGAAUUCCAAACUCUCGCUUCAAACAAAUGGCCGGCUGCGGAUUAAAAAAAAAAAAAACAGAUGGCCGACUGAAGUCAGUAACCACCCACGCUUCCUUUCUUCCCAAAGAAGAGAAAUCCCCAAAAUCGAUCCAUUCUCUCUCUCUCUCUCCUCAGCCCAGUUCCACAGUCCACACCACCACCGACGCAGCCCCGCCACUGAAGUCAUCUUUUCCGUUCUUCCUGACUCGUUUUGCCCUAAUUUCUUCCCCAAAAUUACCAAACCCUCUAAUUUCGUGCGCGUUUGGUUCGGAUUCGACCAAAAAUAGGUUCAACUUGCCUUCUUGUGUACGAUUUCGAGGUGCCUUACGAGUUACGACGCAAACUGUUAUAUAUGUUUUCCCCUAUUUUUUCGUAACAAUCGCAAUUUGAAUUAGCAAGGUGUCAUUGGAAAAGUUAAUGGCGAUUAUUUUGUGGUGAUGCCAUGGUUGUAAACUUGAACGGAAUACCAGUUUGGGAAAUUUAUCAAGGCAAACGUCCAAUGUUGUUGGUCUAAAUUCUUUUAUAUUACCUGUCAGAGCAAGCAUGUGCCUGGUUCCCGCCCUAAGAAGUUCCAAGCUAUCAUGCGUGUUUUUAUGGAUGUGCCAGAUGUCUUGGAAUGCAGCCGUAUAACAUAAUUCUAACAACUCGAUGAGAGUUGGUGAUGUUCUAUUCGUCCAAUGUAUCUGCAACCAAUUGCUGAUUCAUGGGGAAACUAUACGUGUAGACCUUGCCGGAAAAGAAGGGACGAUGAUGCAUGUAUAGUUGGUAUUGUUGUCAAGGCCUUUACACUGUUUACUAGAUCUAUUCUGGUAUGGUUCUCUCUGUAGUUAACUUCAUGUUUGUGCUUUUGUUUUUGUUCGGGAACUCAAUUAAUCUUUCUGUUUGAAUUGCCUGUUUUGUGAAGUUAAACAAAGUUAAAGCGUUAACUUUUAAAUUAAAAGGUCCUCUUCAUAUUGAUUGUAUCUUGGCCAAUAGGAAUCUUUGAACACCUGAAUUCUUGAAUUCUAUGGCGUCUAUGUUCGUUGUUGCAUUGAAGCUCAUGAGCAUCUGCUUGUGUACUGCUUAAAUUGUAGUUGGUAUAACUUGGACUAAUUGACUUAAAUUGGUCUUGAAUUGCUUAGUUCAUUCACGUAUCCUAGGGGUGUUAGUUUGGCAUCAUAGGGGUUUUCAGUUUGGCUCAUUUGAAGAUUAUGAUUUUAAUGUGUUACAUGACUUGUUCAAUCACAUUGUUCUUUUCUUUCAUGUUAUUGACUAGAAAAGCCUGUUAUUUGAGUGAACUCCAUUAAAUGAUUGAGGGACAAUUAGAGUCAAAAGCUUAUACGAGUGGUACCCAAAGCAACCAUGUAUAUUGUGAUUUUGAGAGUUGUUAUAUUUUGCUCUUCAAUGUAUAGUUCUUGUCAAAUUUGACUACAGCAGUGCUUAGAAUUCAUGGUAUGGGUAUGCAACAGGCACAUAUGGAUGUGAUGAUUUGCUUAUGGAUAUAUUACUUCAUGUUUAACAUUUAUGUCUCUCUUGGACAAACGAUCAAUUCGGAUUCUCACUAUUAUGUUGUGAAGAAAAAGCAGUGUAUGACUGAUUUUGUCUUUAGUUUUCCUGGUUUUUUUAUUUUUUAUUUUAUUUUGACAAUGAUUAUAGAACUCUUUAAAUUUCCUUUUUCUA